rnacentral:rRNA from 1 species
ACUCCUACGGGAGGCAGCAGUGGGGAAUAUUGCACAAUGGGCGCAAGCCUGAUGCAGCCAUGCCGCGUGUAUGAAGAAGGCCUUCGGGUUGUAAAGUACUUUCAGCAGUGAGGAAGGUGGGUAUGUUAAUAGCAUAUUCAUUUGACGUUAGCUGCAGAAGAAGCACCGGCUAACUCCGUGCCAGCAGCCGCGGUAAUACGGAGGGUGCGAGCGUUAAUCGGAAUUACUGGGCGUAAAGCGCAUGCAGGUGGUUUGUUAAGUCAGAUGUGAAAGCCCGGGGCUCAACCUCGGAAUUGCAUUUGAAACUGGCAAACUAGAGUACUGUAGAGGGGGUAGAAUUUCAGGUGUAGCGGUGAAAUGCGUAGAGAUCUGAAGGAAUACCGGUGGCGAAGGCGGCCCCCUGGACAGAUACUGACACUCAGAUGCGAAAGCGUGGGGAGCAAACAGGAUUAGAUACCCUGGUAGUCAGUC